UAGGGAAUCUUCGGCAAUGGACGGAAGUCUGACCGAGCAACGCCGCGUGAGUGAAGAAGGUUUCGGAUCGGAAAGCCCUGUUGGUUGAGAAGAACGUUGGUAGGAGGGGAAAAUCUUCCAAGUGACGGUAAAUAAACAGAAAGGGACGGCUAACUACGUGCCAGCAGCCGCGGUAAUACGUAGGUCCCGAGCGUUGUCCGGAUUUAUUGGGCGUAAAGCGAGCGCAGGCGGUUCUUUAAGUCUGAAGUUAAAGGCAGUGGCUUAACCAUUGUACGCUUUGGAAACUGGAGGACUUGAGUGCAGAAGGGGAGAGUGGAAUUCCAUGUGUAGCGGUGAAAUGCGUAGAUAUAUGGAGGAACACCGGUGGCGAAAGCGGCUCUCUGGUCUGUAACUGACGCUGAGGCUCGAAAGCGUGGGGAGCAAACAGG
rnacentral:rRNA from 1 species